rnacentral:rRNA from 1 species
UACGUAGGGGGCAAGCGUUGUCCGGAAUCAUUGGGCGUAAAGAGCGUGUAGGCGGCCAGAAAAGUCCGCUGUGAAAACUCGAGGCUUAACCUCGAGCUGUCGGCGGAAACCAUCUGGCUAGAGUCCGGAAGAGGAGAAUGGAAUUCCCGGUGUAGCGGUGAAAUGCGCAGAUAUCGGGAAGAACACCCGUGGCGAAGGCAGCUCUCUGGGACGGCACUGACGCUGAGACGCGAAAGCGUGGGGAGCGAACAGG